UUUUAAAACAAAACUCACGUCAUUUGCUCACACUCCCAUACUCACAACAAGCACCAGCAUGUCCAAGUAUUUGUCCAGCAUCCAAGGAUCAAGAUGCAAGUACCCAGGUGGUCUGGCCAGGAUUUCUUGUGAUGACGUGGAGGACAAGGGACACUGUCUACUGAGUCCUUCUCAUGCCUCCUCGUUUCUUCCUAGGUUGGCAGGCAUGCUGAAGUUUUGGAGGGGCUUUUUAUAUCCCUUUGGAACUGGGCUCAAGCUGUCCUCGCUUUCUGGAUCUGUGUCCUUCGAAGCUGCACAUAGAAGUGCUGGGAUCUUCCUGACCUAUACUAAUCGAGGUGCCAGGAACAUCUACUUUUCUUAUAUCCCUCUUCUGCUGUUUCGACACGUAGACAUUCCUGUUGAUUCUCAAGUCUCAUUUCUAUUCCUGUUCUCUGCAACUUGAUAGAUCACGGUGAACUUUUGAAGUUGCAGAAAUAUGUCUCCUCUGAGUUUUAAAAGCUAUACAAGGGGCAAUAGAGUUGACCAUUCCUUAACAGUAAAGGCUAACAUGCUUCCAAUAAAGGGCCCAGCAGAAGAAAAAGGUGACUGUUU
rnacentral:lncRNA from 1 species